rnacentral:lncRNA from 1 species
GCGUGUGCGCGAGAGGGGUUUGCAAAAGGAAAUGACCGGAAGGAAGCACGCCUCUCCCGGAGCCCUCGCACACUUCACCCUCUGUAGGAACAUCUAGACUCUGAGCACUUACGUUUAAAACUUUCCGUUCCGACAUUUUAGCUUCCUGUCCAGCGAACAAGCGAAGAAGCGGUCCUCAGUCCACAGGGAGUUUCUCCGAUUCAGCGCCUCAGUGUCGCCACUUCCUUAGCCGGCUCACUGUUCACAAAGCCCCACACCGGCAGAAGAAAGAUCAUCCCACAGGGUUGGAAAUUGAGGUCUGAAGAAGUCAAGUGAAUUAUCCAGUGCUUCGGAGUAGCCCAGUACAUGGAAACCGCGCGCAGCUCACCUGGCGGAAGUGAGAGGCUCCUCGGCGCCGGUAGCGGAGUCGGUACUUGAGAGAGAAGAUGUCCGGGAAGGGCCAGGAAGCAGGGGGAUGCCAGAGCACCUGCAGGCGCUGUCCUGCUGUGCGCAGGCGCACGCCUUCCGGAGGGUCGGGCUUGACUGGUGGGAGCAGGACCUGGGUCAGCGUCUGCUCUGCCGGUUCAUCCCUCACACACUAAGUCUUCGUUUGUGACUCUCAUUCAUUCACAGAUUUGCUCAGUCCUUCCGUUCAUUCAUACUCACACUUCAUUCGUUCACGUAUUCACUAAAUUCUUCACUAAUUCAUUCCUCAGUUACUCACCAUUUGUUCCUGGAUUCAUUAACUCAUUCAUUUGCGCUUAUCAUUUAUACACUCAUUCGUUCAGGGAUCCAUUUCCCAGUCACUAGGUCAUUCACUGUAUCCUUUGUGAAUUCAUUCAUUCACUCCCUAAUUGAGUCACUCAUUCAUUCAUGCAGUCACUCAUGUCAUUCAUUCAUUUACUCAUGGCCUUCAUGUAUUCAUUUUUUUUUAAAAGAUUUAUUUAUUAUAUUCUCCAGCCCAUCAUGUAUUCAUUAGGCAUUCAUUAUGUCAGUUGUGCAUUUAUUCACUCAUUCACUAAGUCAUUCAUGCAUUCAUUCGUUCAUUCACUAAGUCAUUCGUGUGCAUGCACUCAUGUCAUCUAUGCCUUCAGUCACUCAUUAUGCAUUCAUUCAUUACUAAAUCAUUCACUCAUCCACUUGCUAUCAGUCAUGCAGGCGUUCAUUUAUUCCUUCAUUCGUCUAUCUACUCAAGGAAAAAGCAUUUGCGGAACCACCCUCAUCACUGCUGAUAGAAGUCACAAGGGUCACACAGGCAAAGAAAGGUUCCGAGUGCAAGUCUCCAGUAGGCUGAAGGGCUUUUCUGAGAUACAAUUCUGAGAGCACAAGUCUCUGCUAGAAGACAUCCCGUGCAUCUGCAGAGAGCGUUUUCAUUACUCCACCUACUUCUGGAACACUCCUUCAUGACAACACAAGCCAUCUUCCUACCCUUCUCUGUCCUCAGCACUCAGACUUCCUGUCUCUAGACUCCUCUGUACUGCAGCCCACACUGUGUGGGUUGAGUCUGGGUUGCUCACUGAGCGUAGUGUCCUCAAGGUCUUGCCACAGGGGAUGGUGCCAGAGCCUCACUCACUCUUCUUUAGGGCUGAGUAACGCUAGAUAAACACUGUGUGCCCAUCUCUCCAUGGGAACGCACAGGGCACUGGCCUUCUGGAUGCUGGCAAGGAGGUUGCCAAGGAUUGGUAGGGAGGAACAGCUUUAUUGCUGUUGAGCAGAUCCUUAGGUUUGGAGUUGGGAGAUCAUGUGGAGACUUCAGGUUUAAACCCUCGAGAGCUGUGUAGCCUUUCACUGACCUGCAUCAGCUUUUGUUCUUGGCUUUCUUUUCUGAGACAGGUGCUCAGGAGUGACCCUGGCUUGCCUUGAACUUGAUCUGUAGAUCAGGCUGGCCUUGAAUUCUCAGAGAUCUGCCUACCUCUGGGAUUAAAGACUUGUACACC